rfam:Roseovarius albus strain CECT 7450 genome assembly, contig: 0001
GUACUUUGCAUUCUGAAAUUGUGAAACUAUAUAUGCACUGUUCCCUUGGGAACUAUGGACAUAAACGCGCUCGUAAUAAGCGGAUCGGACUCGGGGGCGGUACCCGACGACUCCACCAAAUAUCCCUUUAUUGGAGGGUGGCAUGGGGUCGAAACAGGAUCGACGAACGUCUAAAGGGGUUAGCUUUGUCUCGGUGAGAUACCACCGUUAUCGGUUCGCUAAAGCAUAAUUGCCAAUAACAAUCGUGCUCCGGUAGCUCUCGCAGCGUAAGCUGUUCGAAAUACCGAAACUUAAGCCCUAAUCUCUAGCCAGAUUAGGCGGGGUUCGCAGGCACCUGGCAACAGAAGCCUGCACU